CUGCAAUCUUGCAUCUGGCUAAUGCUUACAAAGGCUGGCUGUUUGCUUGGGAGUUUGCUAGCCAGCCACAGGCAGAUACACCAUUACAGCCUCCUGCAGUAGGAGGGAAGAUGUCACCUCCUAACACCUUUUUCAUGAAGAUUGAUGCCUCUUCACUCCUUUCUGUGUAGCUAAAUAUCCACUGAGCUUUUAGCAGAAGUAAGGCUGUAUGGUCUACCUGAAGAGGGUGAAGCUUCAGGCAGUGUUGCCAGUGGACAACCUGACAAUGUCAGGCAGAGUGGGAUAUAUCUCAGAGAGUUUGAUGCAUCCAAUAGCUCUGGACCUUGUUUCAGUUAAACUCGAGUCUCGGAAAACACAGAACCAGUUGCAGAAGUUGUUACUUGCUGAAAAAGCUGAAGGUUUUGUCCCACUGAGAGUGGAGAAGCAUCUUCUUGCCAGCCUGAGAUGUGGAGACAGCUCAGCCCUGCAGGACUGCGCACCCGUUUGUCGACACCUGAGGGAAGGAUCUGCAGUGAGAGCUACCAAGCACUCUGUUCUGUAAUCAUAUCUCCAAGUACCAGUGCCUGUCCUCAAGGUAUCUCACCUCUGAUGCUUCUCAGAGAAGUAUCUCAUCUUAGCCCCAGUCCCUGAUGGAGGAUAUAACACAGUAAAUGUAAAUAUCCAGCCCUGAGAACUCUUCAUUUCCUGAAACAAAGUGCUUUUGUCCCCAUGAUGAAGCUGACUCAGGAAGCAUUACAUUAUCUGUUCUGCUCUCUAAAGGCCUGAUCCUGCUCUCCUUUCUCUCACAAAAGACAAGGUCGUGCCAUUAAAGUUAAUAACAUGAUGCAUACAGAAGUGAGAAGAACAUGAUGUG